rnacentral:rRNA from 1 species
UACGUAGGGUGCAAGCGUUGUCCGGAUUUAUUGGGCGUAAAGAGCGCGUAGGCGGCUUGGUAGGUCCGCUGUGAAAACUCGAGGCUCAACCUCGAGAUGUCGGCGGAAACCAUCUGGCUAGAGUCCGGAAGAGGAGAGUGGAAUUCCUGGUGUAGCGGUGAAAUGCGCAGAUAUCAGGAAGAACACCCGUGGCGAAGGCGGCUCUCUGGGACGGUACUGACGCUGAGACGCGAAAGCGUGGGGAGCGAACAGG